UACGUAGGUGGCGAGCGUUGUCCGGAUUUACUGGGCGUAAAGGGCGUGCAGGCGGUUUGUUAAGUGCAGGGUGAAAGCUCCCGGCUCAACUGGGAGAGGUCCUUGCAUACUGGCGAACUCGAGGGAGGCAGAGGAAAGUGGAAUUCCAGGUGUAGCGGUGAAAUGCGUAGAUAUCUGGAGGAAUACCGGUGGCGAAGGCGGCAUCCUGGACCGAGAUUGACACUGAUGAGCGAAAGCCAGGGGAGCAAACGGG
rnacentral:rRNA from 1 species